UUUUUGCAUUUGGGUGGUGGCAGCAUCUACCCAUCCAAGGUCAGAGAGAAACUGUAACCUUGGGAGUUUAAUACAAGCCUGGAGUGGCCAGUAUUAAUUUUUAGAAUCCUUGCGAGCCCCCAACCUUCUGCACUCGGAGCGCUAGAGUGGGGAAUCAGCCUUGACAGCAGCUGUUCCUUACCCCUAAUAAUUUUUGUUGCCCUUUUCCGAACCUUUUCCAAGUCUAAUACAUUUUUUUGAGAUGCGGCAACCAAAUCUGCAUGUAAUAUUCAAGAUGUGGGUGUACCAUGGAUUUAUAUGGAGGCAAUAUGAUAUUUUCUGUCUUCGGUGUCACAAGGUGAGGACACAAGCAGUUGGUCCUUCCACCAUCUGCAGAGUGACUGGUCCUUACAUGAGCAAUAUGAUGUCCAAACCAACUGGAUUCAAGAAGUAGUAACUAGCAAAAAUGUCAAUAAACUGUGGAUUGAGAGACAUGAUUUGGAACUAUGUUAUCACCCUGUACCUAACCCCUGCCACCUAAUAAAGUAGCCUCAGUGACAAGCUGGAGUUGAACUGAGUUUUUGGACCCCAGAGAACUGGACGGAGCAUUCUCCCAGAACUGGAUGAGGUGUUCUAGAUAACCUGAGUAGAAGAAGAUCUCAGAGGAAUCCUAGCACCCCCACUUGCUUCUAGUUCCAAACAUCAAGUCCAGACUCUCACAACAUAUCCUACACCUAACCAGGGCAGAGGUGUCAAAAAUAAAUGCGUGUUAACAUUGCUGGAGACAUAACGUUGCUGGAGACAGAGUUCAGGUUUUGCAUUGGAAUGCGAGCUAGCAGAAUGCGAUGUGUGCAUUGUCUCUUUUCAUCUGUUGAUCGUUCAUGGGAGUUUGUUCUGGCAGUGCACCCAGGUGGCAAUAGCUUAACGUGACGUAUGGGUGUUAUGGUAAGUUAAGUUAACAAUGCAUCCUUUAACUAGACAUUUCCUUUUUUAAUCCCUGGAAUUGCAUGGGCGGGUUUUGCGCUUAAGUGACCUUAGCUCCAAACAAGGGUUUCCAUGGUAGGAUCCCUGAUUCAAAUAGGAAAUAAAACCAGCAGAGAAGCUCUCUCCCAAAUCCAGUUCCAGGAGCAACCCUUAAAAGGAAAGGUAGAAAGGGUGAGCAAGGCUAUCUAUAGCAGAAGAGGAGAAAUAAGUGAGGGAGGACAGCUAAGAUAUGAGGAUACAGAAAAAGGCUGGCCAGGUUAACUUCAGACAGGAGAUGAGGAACCAGGUUCUCCUUUCCAUGACCCCAGAUGUAAAUCCAGAGUGACUCCACUGAUGCCAAUGGAGCAGGGCCAGAUUCUGAUCUCAGUAACUCCAGUGUAAAUCUGGAGUGACCCCACUGAUGUCAAUGGGAAGAGGAAAGGGAGAAGGGAGUGAAGAGAGGACAGAGAACAUCCAGUCUGCAGCACACAGGACAGCUAGCUGGCCCAGAUGCUAGAGAAAUAUGCAUGGGGAAAUGGAGGGAGGAAUUUGCCCAUAAGGCCAGGAGUUUGGAUGGUGCAGAGGACAAAAUAUAUUAGACAUGGAAGGAGACUUCAGUAGACAUUCCAAUUCACUUUGGUUGGAGGGUGAGUGUUGGGACAUAAACAACGGAGGCAGGGGAGGAGCAUCUAAGUACAGUACCAUCGCCUGACGUCAGUCACCGUUGUGGGUACCCUGACGCUUUUACACAGCCAAUAAGAGGGGCUAAAAUCAGGAGUAGCAGGCUCCAUUUUUGAAUAGAUCAUGAUUUAGAACAAAGAAAAGUGAAUUUCUAACUUUGCCAUUCCCCUCUUCGCUCACUGACAGGAAGAAGUUCGACACGCAGCUGAAGACGCCUGGCCAGGGUGACUCAUAGCUGCAACCAAACAGGAAAAGUAAUUUUAGAAGAAAUCAACUCUGGCCAUGGAAACAAACAGCCCUUCUGAAAGGACAGUUCAGCUGGGGACCAGAGCAGCUGGGGACAGCACACGGGCAUUUCCUAGUGCAGUUGUAAAACAGCUGCAAACGCAGUCAGGAAGGAGCAAAAAGCUUCCCUUUUGGUAGCUGAUACAGUAAAGUUCAGUGACCUCUAAGGAACAAGGUUCAUCUAUGGGGCAAACCACAGAGCAGAAACUCCCUCUCCUUCCCCUUUUCACACACCACUAAUUGUUUUCUACUCAGGAACUCAGUUCCUGCUGCGGAUCUGUCAGAGAUACCAGGGACAUCCUGUCAAACCAGUUGCAAAAACACAUGUUGAAUAUCACAGAAAAGGAUCAUAGAAUCUCAGGGUUGGAAGGGACCUCAGGAGGUCAUCUAGUCCAACCCCCUGCUCAAAGCAGGACCAACCCCCAACUAAAUCAACGCCCAGCUGCUGAUGCUGACCCAGAGUUCGGAGCCCUCUCCUGUGCCCCUGAAGGGGGAUUCUCAAACUAGGCAUUCCCCUGCCUACCUCACCGGCGUGGCCCCACAGGAGUUUCCUGCGCACACGUAGGAGAAAGGACAGCAGGUUGGAACAUGGUGCGAAUGUCCAAGGGGUUAAGGCACUCCCCUGUGGUAUGAGUAGGCUUGGAAGGAUGAGACUUCUGUCAGUAAAUAGCGAUUUCGCCAUACGCACACAAACCGACAAAAAUAUAUUUCCAUCGAUGCUCAUUAAAAUUUACAGACAAACGUUGCAUGAAAGCUUAUUAGGGCUUGAUUUAAGGCUGGUUACUUUGUACGUUUUGACAUGGGAUGUUGAUAAUUUUGUUUGAAGAGUUAUAAAGUUUUAACUCUUUGAACCUUAA